GCUAAUUCUAGAUGUAUUUGAGAUUGCAUGGUUCAUGAGACAAUUUCAUAGGCUGUGUGCUCUAAACGCUUGUGUAUAACCACCUUCACAGGGACUGGUGUCAAACCCUAGAACCCUUGCAUUUUUUGGAGCAGUAACUAUAUUUUUUUCUUCAAUACAAGAGAUAGGAAAGAAGGUGCUUUGGGAAAAAUUCGGUCUAUCUGCUCAAGUAUGCCUUAUAAAGCAAGAGGCUAUGGAUUUGUUCCAGAUUAAGAUACAUCAGGUUUGACCAGCCAAGACCCCCUGAAAGGUCUCCGAUGACACCAUGGCCCAGAUGAUCCAACAUCCAGAACAGUUUCAAGGAUCAAGCUGGUUUUGUGAUGAAGAGAACAUAAGAUAAUAAAGAAGAGAAGUGGUUACAGAAACUCCAUAUGUCUUACUGGCUAUGAGGCAUAGGGACAGAGAAGAAACACUCACUAGGUUAACAGAGCUCUGAGAAGAUACACAUAAUGCAUUGAUGGCCAACUUUUCUCUGAAAGAUGAAGAAGAAUACAACAGGUCCAGUGAUGUAAUUAGGUUUGUGCUACUGGGUUAGAUCUGCUUGUACACAGACGUAAUCCUAUUUUUUGAAAAGAGAGAAUAGAAAAAAAUUGCCACAAGUGCUUCUUUUCCCAUUUUAGGAAUUAACAUUUAUUCAUCUCUGGGAUUAUACUGGAGUUUGAGAAGUGGGUUUAAAAGUUUAAUUGAGAAUAAAGUAGCAAUGAUACAGAUCCAAAUAUGUUUAAAAAGCACCGCCACGAUUACAAUAUUCAGAAUCCAAGAAGGUUUAUUCCUAAUUGUUUUUGAGAGAUAAGGUGCUCCUAUCUCCCUGACAUCAGCGAAUAAGAAACUUUGGUGAACACAUGAUAGUAAUGCCAGUCUUCGCUCCUUGCAGUCUAAGGUAAAUCUCUCUUUAAUCCUAGCCUGCAGCCUGACUCUAAAACCAAUCCUGGCUCCAGGCAGGGGCACAAGAACGUGCUCCACGUCAUUUAAUUUUUGGCUUAGUUUUGAGUAUGCAUUGCUUUCAGUAUUAAUCCAACUGCAGAAUCAGUUUCCCUAGGAUCUGGUUCCUAAUUUGUUUUUCUCAUCCCCUCUUAAUGCCUGGACUUAAUAUGUCCUCAACCAGUUCUCCCCAUCUUACUGAGACUGUUCCAGGGAUUUUUUUUAAAGGACACUGGUUUCUGCACUAAACUAUAUUUUUAAAAUGAAUUUUUCCUUCUUUAGCAAUUAUAAACAUAUCUUUUAAUUAUUCACUGGAAAUCAAAUGGAGACCUAUGUAUGUAUAUAUGACAUAAAAACAUAAGCAUUUUUUUCUGGUUGCUUAAUUUGCAGUCUGAAGGGAGAACUUCUAUCUCCAGCCCUGAUCAUAAGUCAUAAUGGCAGCAGCAACAGACACAAUGUUGUGAAGGAUAUACUUGGCUUUUCUUUUCAUCCAUUUCUUCUAGGAUUGAGGUAUCCAGUAAAAAGCAAAAAGAUGUACCUUUAACUAUCAGUCACAACUCAGAGUAUCAGGUUUUAAAGAAGACUGGUCAUGCCGGCAGUACA